rnacentral:lncRNA from 1 species
AUGGCCGACGUGGAAGACGGCGAGGAACCCUACGCCCUGACCUCUCACUCCAGGAGCGCAGGCUCCAAGUCGGGAGGCGACAAGAUGUUCUAGCUCAAGAAGUGGAACGUGGUGGCCAUGUGGAGCUGGGCCGUGGAGUGAGAUAUGUGCGCCAUCUGCAGAGUCCAGGUGAUGGAUGCCUGUCUCAGAUGUCAAGCUGAAAACAAACAAGAGGACUGUGUUGUGGUCUUGGGAGAAUGUAAUCAUUCCUUCCGCAACUGCUGCAUGUCCCUGUGGGUGAAACAGAACAAUCGCUGCCCUCUCUGCCAGCAGGACUGGGUGGCCCAAAGAAUCGGCAAAUGA